CGGAAAAAGAGGAGUGGCGAACGGGUGAGUAACACGUGGGUAACCUGCCCAUCAGAAGGGGAUAACACUUGGAAACAGGUGCUAAUACCGUAUAACAAUCAAAACCGCAUGGUUUUGAUUUGAAAGGCGCUUUCGGGUGUCGCUGAUGGAUGGACCCGCGGUGCAUUAGCUAGUUGGUGAGGUAACGGCUCACCAAGGCCA
rnacentral:rRNA from 1 species